GACGAACGCUGGCGGCGUGCCUAAUACAUGCAAGUCGAGCGAAGUUUUUCUGGUGCUUGCACUAGAAAAACUUAGCGGCGAACGGGUGAGUAACACGUAAAGAACCUGCCUCAUAGACUGGGACAACUAUUGGAAACGAUAGCUAAUACCGGAUAACAGUAUUUCUCGCAUGAGAGAUAUUUAAAAGUUGGUUAUGCUAACACUAUGAGAUGGCUUUGCGGUGCAUUAGCUAGUUGGUGGGGUAAAGGCCCACCAAGGCGACGAUGCAUAGCCGACCUGAGAGGGUGAUCGGCCACACUGGGACUGAGACACGGCCCAGACUCCUACGGGAGGCAGCAGUAGGGAAUCUUCCGCAAUGGGCGAAAGCCUGACGGAGCAACGCCGCGUGAGUGAAGAAGGAUUUCGGUUCGUAAAGCUCUGUUGUUAGGGAAGAAUGGAUAUGUAGUAACUAUACACGUAAGAGACGGUACCUAACCAGAAAGCCACGGCUAACUACGUG
rnacentral:rRNA from 1 species